rnacentral:rRNA from 1 species
CCUACGGGAGGCAGCAGUGAGGAAUAUUGGUCAAUGGCCGUAAGGCUGAACCAGCCAAGUCGCGUGAGGGAAUAAGGCCCUACGGGUCGUAAACCUCUUUUGCCGGGGAGCAAGGGCCGGGACGCGUCCCGGCCCGGAGAGUACCCUGAGUAAAAGCAACGGCUAACUCCGUGCCAGCAACCGCGGUAAUACGGAGGAUGCGAGCGUUCUCCGGAUUUAUUGGGUUUAAAGGGUGCGUAGGCGGGCUUUUAAGUCAGCGGUAAAAAUUCGGGGCUCAACCCCGUCCGGCCGUUGAUACUGGCUGCCUUGAGUGGGCGAGAAGAAGGCGGAAUGCGUGGUGUAGCGGUGAAAUGCAUAGAUAUCACGCAGAACCCCGAUGGCGAAGGCAGCCUUCCGGCGCCCUACUGACGCUGAGGCACGAAAGUGCGGGGAUCGAACAGGAUUAGAUACCCUAGUAGUC